rnacentral:rRNA from 1 species
GACGAACGCUGGCGGCGUGCCUAAUACAUGCAAGUCGAACGCACAGUUUAUACCGUAGCUUGCUACACCAUAGACUGUGAGUUGCGAACGGGUGAGUAACGCGUAGGUAACCUGCCUGGUAGCGGGGGAUAACUAUUGGAAACGAUAGCUAAUACCGCAUAAUAUUGAUUAUUGCAUGAUAAUUAAUUGAAAGGUGCAAUUGCACCACUACCAGAUGGACCUGCGUUGUAUUAGCUAGUAGGUGAGGUAACGGCCCACCUAGGCGACGAUACAUAGCCGACCUGAGAGGGUGAGCGGCCACACUGGGACUGAGACACGGCCCAGACUCCUACGGGAGGCAGCAGUAGGGAAUCUUCGGCAAGGGACGAAAGUCUGACCGAGCAACGCCGCGGGAGGGAAGAAGGGUGUCGGAUCGUAAAGCUCGGUUGUAAGAGAAGAACGGGUGUGAGAGUGGAAAGUUCACACUGUGACGGUAUCUUACCAGAAAGGGACGGCUAACUACGUG